rnacentral:misc_RNA from 1 species
AAGGCGUAACAAGGUUUCCGUAGGUGAACCUGCGGAAGGAUCAUUAACACGUAUCCAACGUUAAAACAACCCUGUGAACCUUCAAUCUUGCUCGCGUGGCUCCAUGAAAGCAGCCAUCCCUGGUAAAUCAUUGUCGACCAGACUUGGAGUCAGGGACCUCUGCCGAUGAGAGUUACGCUCGUAGCGAUGCAAGCGACUGUUAACAAUGGAUAUCUUGGUUCUC